AAUGUGAUCAAGAAAGUAAAAGUGCAACACACGCUUAUAAAAAAAAAAUCAAAUAUUUAUGCAAGCCAGUGCCCCCAAUGUCUUUAGUCCCUUACUCUUCGAAGUAUACAGACUUUCUAUUUCUCCUUCUCUCAACUUUAACUGCUUUGCUUUAUAUACUCUAUCUCUUUCAAUUCUCAUUGACCAUUCUCAGUUUCACCUAUGUUUCUAAACUUGAAUGUAUCUUUUUUAACCCUGAAACAUAAAAAGCUUCUUACGGCUUAUCAAAAAAAAAAUUAAAAUAAAAUAAAAUAAAAAGCUUCUUACGAUUUUUAGGCAAUUAGGUUGUAAUUGCAUCUAACUUUUUGUUUUUUCAAUUUCUUAGCCAUUCAUACAAGUUUUUGUUAUUGGUUUAUCUCAUCCUUUUCCUUACAUUGAUUGUUUCUAUUGUGCAGGAGAAUGAGGAUAGAUAUAUUAUCCAUUAGAGGCCAUGAGAGUGGAGCUUCUUUCAUUCUCUGUUUCUUACUCUUUUUCUAUUUGGUUUCUACUUCUUCUAUUGUAUAUUGCUGAUGAAAUGUGUUCUUCUAUUUGCUUAUAAAAUAAAAAUAAAAAUGUGUUCUUCUAUUUGGCUUAUUCGGUAUUAAUACACAUGAAACUAAAGUUGGAAAAAGCUAUAGAGUAAUUGGGGGGAAAUUCAUGAUUGUAAGGAAAAUAUCAUUCUUAAUUCAUAUAUCUAGAUGUUCUCAUGUCUAUUUCUUAAUUUAAUUCAUAUAUUCUGAAAUGUGUUUCUAAAUUCACACAUUCAUGGUUAUUUGGCGAUCCAAUACUUGAAAGCAAUUCGAAGGAGGGAGGGAGGGAGAGGGAGAGAGCUAUGAAUUAUGAUGUUGAUGGAUCUUGGUGAAGAAUUUUUUUUUUUAUCAAUUUUGAAUUUUUUUAAUUUAUAAAGAGUAAUAAUUAUUGCUACGAACGGUUGAAUAACGAAAAACACGAUCAUGUUACCAACCAUUCAUGAUUUCAAUCAAACAACAGAAUAUAUAAUUUUUUUAUUAAAAAAAAAGAAGAAACUCAUCCAAAUAGGCACAUUCUUGGUUCUCGUUAAAAAAUCCUUCGUGAUGUAUAGCAGUCCUCAUUUAUAAAUAAAACAAAUAACAAGAUUAAUUAUGAUAAAAAUGACAUGGAAAAUAUAUUUUCAAUUUAUUUAUGCCACCUAAGUGCCACAUCAUAAAUGAGAAUACCACAUGAUCAAAAUGGGAGGGGGACUACAAAUUUUUGUUGACUUUUGAACCAAAAAGCUGGUUUUAGAAAUAGGGGGACCAUUUGUCAAANNNNNNNNNNNNNNAAAUAGGGGGACAAAAGUUCAAAAAUAUGAAAAUAGAUGGACCAAAAAUACAUUUAAGCCUAAAAACUAUUUGGGUUAUAUUUGAAACCCAACAUCUCAAAGAUGCAAAUGUAGGAGUGUCAACUAAAGCCAUACGAACAACAUGAGCUAGGUUGCUCACCUUUACGGAAAUUUCCCAUCCCCAAUCUGAGUUCGGACGUACACUCCGGUAAGAGGAAAAAAAAAAAAUACAAAUUUUGUGUUGUCUAAACAAUUUAUACGGUGCAGAAGUACAUUUUAAAAAACAUGAGGUUUUUUAGAAUCAUGGGAUGAAAAGCAGUGCCCUUUCAAACAAGGAGUACACUGAUAUUCCACUAUCAAAUAACCAUCAGGUUAUAAAAUCAAUAAUAGUUAUGAUUAAAAUAUAUAUCUUUUAUUGAUUUAUUUUAAAUAGUAAAUCAACAAUCCAUAAAAGAAAUUAUUGCAUCAUGGAUUACCAAAGACAUGAAAACUAACUACAAAGGAGAUACAAACAGUACCUUGUUUUACCCGUCUUCUGAGAUCAUCUUUCUCAUCAUCAGCAUUUGUUAAUUGUCCUCAGGUUGCAAAUUGCAAUCUCAGCAUUUCAGGCAACAUAAGAAUAGUGAACCAAAUUUUCAUUAACAGAUAAACAGAAAGGCGAUAGAUAUAUAAACACAUAUUAUGAAAGCAAGCAGAGAGUGUGACAUAACAUUUGACGUUUACAAGACCUAGAAAUCCCAUUUUCUCUAUGUUUCUUUUAUACAUAAAUCAUGAAGCUGGAUCUCUAGGACAAUUUAAGCAUCAAUUUUCAUUACUGAGCAUGGCAUGCAGUGCCAGGUACUUCAAAAAACUGUCCUAGAGACACUGAAUGGAUUUCCAUGAUUCUGAUUUGCUUUACCAUAUCGAAUGCUUUAAGCCAAGGCCAUUGCAAGUUAAUAUAAGGCCCUUGUAACGGUUAAGAUAAUCCUGCGACAAACAAAAAUGAAAAAGUCAAACAGAAUGAAUCAUUCAUGUAAAAAUAAAACAUUCUAUUGGAACACAUUUCUUGUUAGAUGGAGUCAAAUGCUCCUUACAAUGAUAUUGUAAUCAUAUAUGUAACGCAUCCCGUUUAUGUCGUACUCCCUCCUUUUGUCUGGAUCACUCAAAACUGCCAAAUAAAGCCAAAGACAUGUCGGUUAGAUUAUACUAACCUGACAGGGGCAAAUAAUAAAGAAUAGAAAAUCAGCAUGACAAUCAAAUAACACUAAAUUAAAAUUUCAAACAACACAAAUCAGGAGGAUUCUAGACUAUAACUGCAAUAUCAUAUUUAUUGAACCACUAAUCUAAACCCUUCCAGCUGCCAUCUCGACCACAACCCCUCUUCUCAAAGCUUGGAAAGGAAAGUCUUCACUGUCAGUCACAUGCUUAAUAGACUAUAAACAUUUACUAGGUAAGAGGGAAUAUGGCUGGUUGUAAAAACAUGGAUUUAGAAGGGUAAAGCUCCCAUCUCCCCUUAACUUUAAAAUUGAAUAAAAGAAAUCCCCCAGCUAUGUUAUCUAGUCUUAAUUCUAAUUUCUUAUUAUUACAUCUUACAUUCAUCCUUGAUAACAAACAUCAUUUUACAAGUCAGCACAUAGUGCGGUUACUAUAUCAAAAUUAACCAGGUCAUAUUUGGAUAUGGCAAAGGCUAGAAAUCAUAUCAAAGACUAUCAACCAAACUCUAAUAAGGAUGGUUGUUAACCAAUGCAUGCAAAACGAAAGGGCGAAAAAACAAGCUGUAACAAUAAUGUACUCGUAACUCAAUCAUGGAUUAAGGUAUUUGCAAGUCAAGUUGGAGCUUCAGGUGCUCAAUUGAAAUCCACGUGCUUGAAACCUUGUUUACUUAACCACAAUUUUUUCAUCUCAAUUACCACCCAACAAUUAGUACCGCAAUACUAUUUUUUGGCAUCAAUAGUUUUAUGGCAGUUUGAAUUUUCAACACAACAUAAUACAAUUAUUAUCCAUAUUCUCUGCAUUUUGGAAAUCGUAAAUUUCCUGGAUCUGUGGACCUCGGCCAGUCCAGCCCGUCCCAAAUCUCACAUGGGCAACUCAGGUACAAAAUAGUGAGCAUCGAACGACCCAAAAGAACACAACUACAGAGAAUGCAAGAUUUUUCAAAUAGAGAUGGUUAUAUAUGAAGCACAAAUACUCCUCAUAUUAGGCAUGUCCCGGUUAGGGGUGGGCAUGGUUCGGUUUUUAAGAAAAACCGAACCGAACUGAACCAAAUUGUUUUCAAAAUUCAUAAUAGCCGAAUUGAACUGAACCGUUUGUCUUUUAACCGAACCGAACCAAACUGUUAAAAUGGUUUGGUUUUAUGGUUCUGAACCAAACUAUAACUAACUUUUGACUAAAAAGAACUGAACCAUUAAGAUAACCGAACCGAACUAAUAAUCAUGAACCG
rnacentral:lncRNA from 1 species